rnacentral:rRNA from 1 species
UACGUAGGGGGCUAGCGUUGUCCGGAAUCAUUGGGCGUAAAGCGCGUGUAGGCGGCCCGGUAAGUCCGCUGUGAAAGUCGGGGGCUCAACCCUCGGAAGCCGGAGGAUACUGCCGGGCUAGAGUCCGGAAGAGGCGAGUGGAAUUCCUGGUGUAGCGGUGGAAUGCGCAGAUAUCAGGAGGAACACCAAUAGCGAAGGCAGCUCGCUGGGACGGUACUGACGCUAAGGCGCGAAAGCGUGGGGAGCAAACAGG